CGCGUGGUGUGCGGCGAAAAAUGACCGUAUAGCGACGCGGCCUUAACUAGAGGU
rnacentral:ncRNA from 1 species